GGGUGGCACAACUGGGUUAUUGCACCCCGAGGUUACAUGGCCAAUUAUUGUCAUGGAGAAUGCCCAUACCCACUGACAGAAUUGCUCAAAGGCACCAACCAUGCUGUGUUGCAGACACUAGUUCACUCUACAGAGCCAGAAUCCACUCCCUUACCUAGCUGUGCCCCAAUAAAGCUAUCGCCCAUCUCAAUGCUGUAUUAUGACAACAACG